AAUUGAUAAAAGCAAACGCCGGGAAACCGACGGGCGCAAAGCUAUGGGUCUAAAGGACGCCUGACUCCAACGGUUCUAGGGAGUUGAAGCGCAGACGCCUAAAAAAGAGGAAUGUCCAAUGACCGCCAGGCCGCCAAA
rnacentral:ncRNA from 1 species